rnacentral:rRNA from 1 species
UACAGAGGUGGCAAGCGUUGUUCGGAAUUACUGGGCGUAAAGGGCGAGUAGGCGGCCUUCUAAGUCAGACGUGAAAUCCCCCGGCUUAACCUGGGAACUGCGUCUGAUACUGGGAAGCUAGAGUAUGGGAGAGGGAUGUAGAAUUCCAGGUGUAGCGGUGAAAUGCGUAGAUAUCUGGAGGAAUACCGGUGGCGAAGGCGGCAUCCUGGACCAUUACUGACGCUGAACCGCGAAAGCUAGGGGAGCAAACGGG